rnacentral:rRNA from 1 species
AUUGAACGCUGGCGGCAUGCCUUACACAUGCAAGUCGAACGGCAGCACGGGAGCAAUCCUGGUGGCGAGUGGCGAACGGGUGAGUAAUGUAUCGGAACGUACCUUUCAGUGGGGGAUAACGUAGCGAAAGUUACGCUAAUACCGCAUAUUCUGUGAGCAGGAAAGCAGGGGAUCGCAAGACCUUGCGCUGAUUGAGCGGCCGAUAUCAGAUUAGCUAGUUGGUGAGGUAAAGGCUCACCAAGGCGACGAUCUGUAGCGGGUCUGAGAGGAUGAUCCGCCACACUGGAACUGAGACACGAUCCAGACUCCUACGGGAGGCAGCAGUGGGGAAUUUUGGACAAUGGGCGCAAGCCUGAUCCAGCCAUGCCGCGUGAGUGAAGAAGGCCU